rnacentral:lncRNA from 1 species
AUCAAGAAACAGAAGACAAAAGAGGUGGCACCAUGUUUUCAACUUUGCAUCAGAUAGGAAACUUCUUCAGUGUGGGGACCAGCAGGUGGUGUGGCAGGGCCAACAGCUGUCCUCUCUCUUUCCCUCACUUCCUUGUUCUGCCACAGUUCUGAACAGAGACAGCCCACCCCGGUGACCUGCUGUCACCUGAAUGUGACUUUACGGCUUCUCUCUGGACCACUCUGACAGGAGGUGCUGCUUGGCUGUCAACUGUGGUGUCCC